GUUUAUGACCGCACCACCCUGGCCACACUCGGAUCUCAUCUGAUCUUGGAAGUUAAGCAAGGCCGGGUAGUACUUGGAUGGGAGACCACCUGGAAAUACCGGGUGCUGUAGGCU
rnacentral:rRNA from 1 species